rnacentral:lncRNA from 1 species
AAAAGGAAAAAAAUUGUUUAUUGGAUAAUUAUGUCUUAAUUGAGGAAAUUAAUACAAAUAUAAACAAAGAGAGAAAAAUAAAUAAACAUGUUGGGGCUGUGUUCGUACGCGAUGAGGGGCAUCAAAACUACAUGCGUAUCGCACAGGUAAUGGUUGGUGUGGUUGGUUUGCCAUGUGGUCGUCUGUGACUCGCUGCAGGUGGAGGGUGCAUCAGGCUUAACGUGAACUUGACUGCACAUGACUAUAGGCUAGGGCAAGGGCUUGGGUAAGUUGUAGGCGCUUCUAGGAGAGUGACGCGCACCUGCGGAGUUGUCGUGACAUGAUUGGGUCUAAAAGGGGAUGCACAACAUCUAAUCUGGACACAGUUGCACUGGAACGCGCGUUGUGGAUGGGGCGCCCAGUUCUAGUGUGACGUGCCCGCACAAAGGGAGGUGACCUCGCUUGCGUGUCGCGAUCAGAUGUGUUUAGAGUGUGGUCAACGUGAAAGUCCUUGCAUCCAACGGUAGUGAACUUAGGUGCAUGCUGCUACUGUUAGGAGCAGUUGUACUGGAUCCCGCACUACCUCUAUCCUCCUUUUCUCUCAGCACAAAUCCGAAGGCAUUUUCUCUCUCUUUUCCCCUCUAUUUUUCCAGCCUCUUUUUUUCCCUCUUUUUUU